rnacentral:rRNA from 1 species
CCUACGGGUGGCAGCAGUGGGGAAUAUUGCACAAUGGGGGAAACCCUGAUGCAGCGACGCCGCGUGAGUGAAGAAGUAUUUCGGUAUGUAAAGCUCUAUCAGCAGGGAAGAAAAUGACGGUACCUGACUAAGAAGCCCCGGCUAACUACGUGCCAGCAGCCGCGGUAAUACGUAGGGGGCAAGCGUUAUCCGGAUUUACUGGGUGUAAAGGGAGCGUAGACGGUAAUGCAAGUCUGAAGUGAAAUCCCAUGGCUUAACCCCGGGACUGCUUUUGAAACUGUGCGACUGGAGUGCAGGAGAGGUAAGCGGAAUUCCUGGUGUAGCGGUGAAAUGCGUAGAUAUCAGGAGGAACACCAGUGGCGAAGGCGGCUUACUGGACUGUAACUGACGUUGAGGCUCGAAAGCGUGGGGAGCAAACAGGAUUAGAUACCCCUGUAGUC